GGAGCCGGAGGGAAACCGAGUCUUAACCGGGCGUUAAGUUGCAGGGUAUAGACCCGAAACCCGGUGAUCUAGCCAUGGGCAGGUUGAAGGUUGGGUAACACUAACUGGAGGACCGAACCGACUAAUGUUGAAAAAUUAGCGGAUGACCUGUGGCUGGGGGUGAAAGGCCAAUCAAACCGGGAGAUAGCUGGUUCUCCCCGAAAGCUAUUUAGGUAGCGCCUCGUGAAUUCAUCUCCGGGGGUAGAGCACUGUUUCGGCUAGGGGGCCAUCCCGGCUUACCAACCCGAUGCAAACUGCGAAUACCGGAGAAUGUUAUCACGGGAGACACACGGCGGGUGCUAACGUCCGUCGUGAAGAGGGAAACAACCCAGACCGCCAGCUAAGGUCCCAAAGUCAUGGUUAAGUGGGAAACGAUGUGGGAAGGCCCAGACAGCCAGGAUGUUGGCUUAGAAGCAGCCAUCAUUUAAAGAAAGCGUAAUAGCUCACUGGUCGAGUCGGCCUGCGCGGAAGAUGUAACGGGGCUAAACCAUGCACCGAAGCUGCGGCAGCGACACUGUGUGUUGUUGGGUAGGGGAGCGUUCUGUAAGCCUGUGAAGGUGUGUCGUGAGGCAUGCUGGAGGUAUCAGAAGUGCGAAUGCUGACAUAAGUAACGAUAAAGCGGGUGAAAAGCCCGCUCGCCGGAAGACCAAGGGUUCCUGUCCAACGUUAAUCGGGGCAGGGUGAGUCGACCCCUAAGGCGAGGCCGAAAGGCGUAGUCGAUGGGAAACGGGUUAAUAUUCCCGUACUUGGUGUUACUGCGAAGGGGGGACGGAGAAGGCUAUGUUGGCCGGGCGACGGUUGUCCCGGUUUAAGCGUGUAGGUGUGUGUUCCAGGUAAAUCCGGUUCACUUUAACACUGAGGCGUGACGACGAGGCACUACGGUGCUGAAGCAACAAAUGCCCUGCUUCCAGGAAAAGCCUCUAAGCAUCAGGUAACAUCAAAUCGUACCCCAAACCGACACAGGUGGUCAGGUAGAGAAUACCAAGGCGCUUGAGAGAACUCGGGUGAAGGAACUAGGCAAAAUGGUGCCGUAACUUCGGGAGAAGGCACGCUGACACGUAGGUGAAGUGAUUUACUCAUGGAGCUGAAGUCAGUCGAAGAUACCAGCUGGCUGCAACUGUUUAUUAAAAACACAGCACUGUGCAAACACGAAAGUGGACGUAUACGGUGUGACGCCUGCCCGGUGCCGGAAGGUUAAUUGAUGGGGUCAGCGCAAGCGAAGCUCCUGAUCGAAGCCCCGGUAAACGGCGGCCGUAACUAUAACGGUCCUAAGGUAGCGAAAUUCCUUGUCGGGUAAGUUCCGACCUGCACGAAUGGCGUAAUGAUGGCCAGGCUGUCUCCACCCGAGACUCAGUGAAAUUGAACUCGCUGUGAAGAUGCAGUGUACCCGCGGCAAGACGGAAAGACCCCGUGAACCUUUACUAUAGCUUGACACUGAACAUUGAGCCUUGAUGUGUAGGAUAGGUGGGAGGCUUUGAAGUGUGGACGCCAGUCUGCAUGGAGCCGACCUUGAAAUACCACCCUUUAAUGUUUGAUGUUCUAACGUGGACCCGUUACCCGGGUUGCGGACAGUGUCUGGUGGGUAGUUUGACUGGGGCGGUCUCCUCCUAAAGAGUAACGGAGGAGCACGAAGGUUGGCUAAUCCUGGUCGGACAUCAGGAGGUUAGUGCAAUGGCAUAAGCCAGCUUGACUGCGAGCGUGACGGCGCGAGCAGGUGCGAAAGCAGGUCAUAGUGAUCCGGUGGUUCUGAAUGGAAGGGCCAUCGCUCAACGGAUAAAAGGUACUCCGGGGAUAACAGGCUGAUACCGCCCAAGAGUUCAUAUCGACGGCGGUGUUUGGCACCUCGAUGUCGGCUCAUCACAUCCUGGGGCUGAAGUAGGUCCCAAGGGUAUGGCUGUUCGCCAUUUAAAGUGGUACGCGAGCUGGGUUUAGAACGUCGUGAGACAGUUCGGUCCCUAUCUGCCGUGGGCGCUGGAGAACUGAGGGGGGCUGCUCCUAGUACGAGAGGACCGGAGUGGACGCAUCACUGGUGUUCGGGUUGUCAUGCCAAUGGCACUGCCCGGUAGCUAAAUGCGGAAGAGAUAAGUGCUGAAAGCAUCUAAGCACGAAACUUGCCCCGA
rnacentral:rRNA from 1 species